GGGGAGAUUCCAGAGCGGUUAAAUGGGGCAGACUGUAAAUCUGUUGGCGCAGCCUUCGGAGGUUCGAAUCCUCCUCUCCCCACAA
rnacentral:tRNA from 1 species